CAUUAACGAAUAUAAUUCGAGGGGUUGUCGCUGGCCUCGCUCGCGCGAGGCAUGUGCACGCUUCGCGUUUUUCUGAUAACCAACCUGUGAACCUAAUGUAGGAUGCCUCUCCUCCGGGAGGGGGGACCUACGUCUUCUCAACAUCUUCGUGUAGAAAGUCUUUGAAUGUUUACUAUCAUCGAGUCGCGACUUCUAGGAGACGCGAUUCUUUGAGAUAAAAGUUAUUACAACUUUC
rnacentral:rRNA from 1 species